AUUGAACGCUGGCGGCAUGCCUUACACAUGCAAGUCGAACGGCAGCGGACCUUCGGGUGCCGGCGAGUGGCGAACGGGUGAGUAAUAUAUCGGAACGUACCUUUCAGUGGGGGAUAACGUAGCGAAAGUUACGCUAAUACCGCAUAUUCUGUGAGCAGGAAAGCAGGGGAUCGCAAGACCUUGCGCUGAUUGAGCGGCCGAUAUCAGAUUAGCUAGUUGGUGAGUAAAGGCUCACCAAGGCGACGAUCUGUAGCGGGUCUGAGAGGAUGAUCCGCCACACUGGAACUGAGACACGGUCCAGACUCCUACGGGAGGCAGCAGUGGGGAAUUUUGGACAAUGGGCGCAAGCCUGAUCCAGCCAUGCCGCGUGAGUGAAGAAGGCCUGGUUGUAA
rnacentral:rRNA from 1 species